GAUGAAGAACGUAGCGAAAUGCGAUAAGUAAUGUGAAUUGCAGAAUUCAGUGAAUCAUCGAAUCUUUGAACGCACAUUGCGCCCGCCAGUAUUCUGGCGGGCAUGCCUGUUCGAGCGUCAUUUCAACCAUCAAGCCCCCGGGCUUGUGUUGGGGACCUGCGGCUGCCGCAGGCCCUGAAAAGCAGUGGCGGGCUCGCUGUCACACCGAGCGUAGUAGAUUUUAUCUCGCUCUGGGCGUGCUGCGGGUUCCGGCCGUUAAACCACCCUUUUAACCCAAGGUUGACCUCGGAUCAGGUAGGGAGACCCGCUGAACUUAAGCAUAUCAAUAAGCGGAGGA
rnacentral:misc_RNA from 1 species